CCUACGGGAGUCAGCAGUGAGGAAUAUUUGUCAAUGGACGCAAGUCUGAACCAGCCAUGCCGCGUGCAGGAUGACGGCUCUAUGAGUUGUAAACUGCUUUUGUACGAGGGUAAACCCCGAUACGUGUAUCGGGUUGAAAGUAUCGUACGAAUAAGGAUCGGCUAACUCCGUGCCAGCAGCCGCGGUAAUACGGAGGAUCCGAGCGUUAUCCGGGUUUAGUGGUGUUAAAGGGUGCGUAGGCGGUUUGAUAAGUUAGAGGUGAAAUGUCGGGGCUCAACCCCGAAACUGCCUCUAACACUGUUGGACUAGAGAAUAGUUGCGGUAGGCGGAAUGUAUGGUGUAGCGGUGAAAUGCUUAGAGAUCAUACAGAACACCGAUUGCGAAGGCAGCUUACCAAACUAUAUCUGACGUUGAGGCACGAAAGCGUGGGUAGCAAACAGGAUUAGAUACCCUGGUAGUC
rnacentral:rRNA from 1 species